AGUGAACGCUGGCGGUAGGCCUAACACAUGCAAGUCGAACGGCAGCAUAGUAAGAGCUUGCUCUUACGGGUGGCGAGUGGCGGACGGGUGAGGAAUACAUCGGAAUCUACUUUUUCGUGGGGGAUAACGUAGGGAAACUUACGCUAAUACCGCAUACGACCUACGGGUGAAAGCAGGGGAUCUUCGGACCUUGCGCGAUUGAAUGAGCCGAUGUCGGAUUAGCUAGUUGGCGGGGUAAAGGCCCACCAAGGCGACGAUCCGUAGCUGGUCUGAGAGGAUGGUCAGACACACUGGAAGUGAGACACGGUCCAGACUCCUACAGGAGGAAGCAGUGGGGAAUAUUAGACGAUGGGGGAAAGCCUGAUACAGCAAUACCGCGUGAGUGAAGAAGGACUUCGGGUUGUAAAGCCCUUUUGUUGGGAAAGAAAAACAGCAGGUUAAUACCCCGCUGUUAUGACGGUACCCAAAGAAUAAGCACCGGCUAACUUCGUG
rnacentral:rRNA from 1 species